rnacentral:rRNA from 1 species
UUGCCAGACUCCUACGGGAGGCAGCAGUGGGGGAUAUUGCACAAUGGGGGGAACCCUGAUGCAGCGACGCCGCGUGGGUGAAGAAGCGUUUCGGCGCGUAAAGCCCUGUCGGCAGGGAAGAAGGAGGACGGUACCUGACUAAGAAGCCCCGGCUAACUACGUGCCAGCAGCCGCGGUAAUACGUAGGGGGCAAGCGUUGUCCGGAAUUACUGGGUGUAAAGGGAGCGUAGGCGGGAUGGCAAGUUGGGUGUUAAAUCUACCGGCUCAACUGGUAGUCGCACUCAAAACUGCUAUUCUUGAGUGAAGUAGAGGCAGGCGGAAUUCCUAGUGUAGCGGUGAAAUGCGUAGAUAUUAGGAGGAACACCAGUGGCGAAGGCGGCCUGCUGGGCUUUUACUGACGCUGAGGCUCGAAAGUGUGGGGAGCAAACAGGAUUAGAUACCCUGGUACUC